GCCUGGGCAAAGUACUCCUCAAGCUGGAGGAGCCUGUUGAUAUUUUAGUUUUCAUCAACUGUGCAAAUCUUUGAAUCUUUUUGGUUUGAAUGCGUCAGAGUCUGGUCUGGAAAUCUACCCGAGAUUAUUUUUAGCCUGUUUGACCAGGGGAUCAGCUGCUCUAUGGAGAUGUUCACUCAGGGCCAGGGGUGAGCCUGCACAUACUACCUCCCGCAGGCAGUCACAAGCGCUUGAAGUUGCUCCUGGGCCAGGGCUGGAAGCGGCUGUGGGACCCUGAGUCCCUGAAUCUGAAAGCAGGACUGGGGGGCUCUCCUGAGAUUGGCCCCGGCCAAUAUGUAAGGACCUCAGGGGACUCAUGGCUGGAUCCUUCUCUGGUCCUGCUCAGACUCUCUCUAUGAUGGUGGUUGCCAGCUGAUGGAACACUCGCACUCUGGGCUUAGUCUCUGUCCAGCCCUCCCUUGCGGAGAAGGCGAUGGCACCCACUCCAGUACUCUUGCCUGGAAAAUCCCAUGGAUGGAGGAGCCUGGUAGGCUGCAGUCCAUGGGGUUGCUAGCAGUCGGACAUAACUGAGCGACUUCACUUUCACUUUUCACUUUCAUGCAUUGGAGAAGGAAAUGGCAACCCACUCCAGUGUUCUUGCCUGGAGAAUCCCAGGGACGGGAGAGCCUGGUGGGCUGCCAUCUAUGGGGUUGCAUGGAGUCGGACAUGACUGAAGCGACUUAGUAGCAGCAGUAGCAGCAGCCCUCCCUUGGCUCCAAACAAGCUGUGGAUGUUCACUCCUUUGUACAAACUGUUUCUUCUGCCAGGAAUAUCCUUCUUUUUUCUUUUUUUGCAUUCAAGGCUCAGCUCAAAUGGCCCCUCUUGCGUAAAGCUUACCCCUCCCACUGAGAUGACCUGGUCACACUCUUCUCUAAGUGCCCAGAAGCUCUGUACCUGCUACAUCCUGCUCACAAGGAAGGAAGGACUAACUGCUGCUACCUGUCUGCUCUCCUUACCCGAUGGGGGCUUCUGGAGGCAAGGACCCCUGGUGCGCAUCCCAGUGCCUGGCACGUCAUGGGACUUUGCACAUGGCUGCUGGGUGAGGGAAGCUCCGUGGCAGCAGGAUGAGGUGCUGGGAACAAGCAGGAAGCAGGAAGCUGGAGCUUGA
rnacentral:lncRNA from 1 species